rnacentral:rRNA from 2 species
AAGUGCGAUCAUAUCAACACUAAUGUACCGGAUCUCAUCAGAACUCUGCAGUUAAACGUGCUUGAACUAGAGUAAUAGUGAGUGAUCUCUUGAGAAGUCUUGUGUUGCACUUA